rnacentral:lncRNA from 1 species
AUGGCUCCCGCCUCCGUCAAACCGAGAGGGCUGCGCAUUAAUCGUAAUUUUGCCCUGGAGGCGCGUAGAGCCCAUUCGGUGAGUUUGAACCGCGCUUAUUUUGCACCUUGGCACGCCCCUCUCCUUUCUGGUAACAGAAUAAAAGCGGCAGUAUCUGAGUCCCGCCCUCUAACUCCUCUGCCAGCGGCUGGGAAAAAUGGACUCCGAUCCCCCUCCAAGAGACUCUUGGGAAAUGUAGUCCGCAGUGGGAAAAAGAGUGCGUGGAAAGAGGCCUCUGGGCGCGCUAGCAGGAGUGCGCAGGCGCAGGCUUCGUGGCUCGCCAUCGUCGCCUUUGUCCGCUGGCCAGCAUCCUUGUGUACCCCCGGAGCAGAAGCCACCCUACCCUUGAAACCUCUCAUGAGUUCUGAGGCCUCAGCCUGACUUGGCUGCUGUCUUUAUUCCCAGAGAUAGUAUCAGAGUCCUGAAUGGCUUUUCUCGUUGCAAGUUUAAAGCCUACAGUUCCAACAAAAACAGUGGGCGAUUGAGAAGUGUAAAUCUGCAGGUGAGUGGAAACCUUACAAAAUGCCUCCGUGUGCUUUAGGUGCAGUGAGGGUUCACGACCACGGAGGGAUUUGUAGUUCAUUUUUUUAAGCAGCUGUGUCCCAUUUGGAGGGCCAGUCUUCCUGAUCCUCUGCUUUCCUUUCCUCCUCGUCUAUAGGAUUGGUUGCUCAGCUGACUUCAGUGCUUCCCUCUUCUUCAUUUCAGCUUUCAUUUUAUUGGUUGUUACUGUAUCUCCAACCCUAACCUCCGUAGGCACCUGCACUCGUAUGCAUAUACACACACAAACACGUUAAGACAGACAAAACAUUACAUCCCUACUGAGCACGUAGAUAUUUUUCCUUAUUAUAGCUCCCUGACCAACACAGAAUGGCAACGAUUUGCAUAGCAUUGCUAUUGUGUUAGGUAUCACAUGUAACCUAAAAAUGACGUAACUAUCUGAGAGGAUAUCCAUAGAUGGCUUGCAAAUAUGCCGUUUUACACAAGCGUCUCAGAGCUAAUCCCCUGUGGGUGUCUAAGGAUGACUCUGUAGCCAACUAUUUUUGCUCAGUCUUUUCUCACUUGGAAUUAUUCUAUAUUUUUAUUGUUGCUGAGCAGGGUUUCACUUUGUAUCCCCUGCUGCCCUCCAAUUCCUUGUGUUGCUCAGGCUGGCCUCUAACUCAGAGAUCUGCCUACCUCUGCCUCUUGAGUACUGGGAUGAAGAAUGUAUGACACUACACCUGGCCACGUCAAACUUACUUAAUGUAUCUGUUUAUGCUUAUUAAAACUGUUUUGCCUAUUUUUGAUUGCUUUAUUUUAACUAUUAGCUAAAGAUGUGGAAACGUUAUUCCCAGAACCCAUAGUGCCCAUGUUUCUGCUUCCUGGUAGAAGUUAUAUCAGGGCCCCCCUGUUUUUCAAAGUUCUGUUUAUUUUAUGGGUAUGAGUGUGUGCCUAAUAUAUUCAUGUGCACCCUAUGGGCCAGUGAGAUGGCUUCGUGGGUAAAGCACCCGUCACAGAGUUUGAUCUCUGAAACCCGUGUGUCAGAAGGAGAGAACUGACUCCUGCAAGUUGUCUUCUGACUUCCACGCACAAGCUGUCCAUGUGCCCUGGCUCCAUAAACACCACAAAUGAGUUCUUGUCUCCUUGUUUCCUUUCCUUUUGACUUCCACUACAACUUUUACCAGAAUGUGCUUUAUGUAGUGUGGCUCUUUGUGAAUGGGAUUUCUGGUAUUUGAUGAGCCUGUUCUUGUGUUGAGUCAAUGCAGAAUCCUGAGCAGCUUUCUUUAUUCUGUUCAAUUAUUUCUCAUUGGUUUUCAUAAUGUUUUCUACAACUCUUUUAAUACUUUUUAGACCUACUAGAGUCUACUACUGAUACACUAAUUUUCCAGCCAUUACUCUACAACCCUUUCUUCCUUCCAUCAUUCCUACUUAUUUCUUUUUGUUUGUUUCUUUUCUUUCUUUUUUCUUUCUUUCUUUCCUUCUUUUUUUUUUUUUUUUUUGGAUACAGGGUUUUUCUGUAGCUUUGGAGCCUGUCCUGGCACUUGCUCUGUAGACCAGGCUGGCCUCCAACUCACAGAGAUCCGCCUGCCUCUGCCUCCCGAGUGCUGGGAUUAAAGGCGUCUGUCACUACUGCCCAGCACUACUUAUUUCUUGACUUUUUUGCCAACCUAUUUAAUCUUUUUGGGAAAAAAUAGUUUUAUUUAUUAUUAUUGGUGUGUGUGUGUAUACAGGGACACUUCCAUGGUAUUCCUUCUAUCCUUCCUACUUCUUGACUUUUUUUUUUUGCCAAUCUACUAAAUCUUUUUGAAAAAAGUAUUAGUUUUAUUUAUUAUUAUUGUUAGUGUGUGCAUACAGGGACACUUCCAUGGUAUGCAUGGAGGUCAGAACACAAACCUUCCUCAGCAUUCUGGGGCCCAAAGUCUGGAUAUCAAGUCUGAGCAAAAACAAUUUACCAACAGAUCUGUCUCAUUUGGCCCUAAUUUAUUACAAUCUUAAACAUAUGUAGCACCGUUUUUUUUUUCUUUUAGCUUUUUAUAAUAUUAGCUACAGUGUUUGUUUAAAUGCAGUGGGAGGGGCUUAUCUUAGUCACUGUUGUAUUGCUACGAAGAGGCAUCAUGACCAGGGCAGCUUUAGAAACGAAUUUAGUUGGGGGCUUACUUACAGCUUUCGAGGGUUAGUGCAUUAUUCUCCUGUCAGGGCAUGGUGGAAGCAUGUGGCACUCAUGGUGCUGGAGCAGUUAGUGAGAGCUGCAUUCUGAUCUGCAAGCAGGGAGAGUGACACUGGACCUGGUGUGGGGCUUUUGAAACCUCAGAGCCCACUCCCAGUCCCACUCCUCCCCAGCAAGGCCACACCCCCUAAUCCUUCUCAAACAGUGCCACUGGCUGAGUGACGAAGCAUUCAAAUACAUGGGCCAUUCUCAUUCUAACCACCACAGGACUGACCUUAAGGUUGGAAUCUCCCAAACACAAUCGCCAGAGUGCUAGGAAACGUUCUCAUGAUAAUUACUUCCAAGUCUUUCCACUGACAAGAGCUUCAUUACAGCAGUGGGGACGCAGCUCUGUUUGUGGGUUCCUUGCUUAUCAUGCGCCUUCGGAGUCCUGCCUUUGAUCCCGGUGCCGUGCAAAUCGUGCGCAUGCCUUGAAGAGGCAGGGGGAGUGGACGCUGUAAGUCGUCCUCAGUUACAUGAUGCUUUCAGGACUAUCCUGGCUCACCCGAGACCCUCAAAAAGAACCUUGGCAGCUAUUAAGAGCAUGUAUUGCUCUUUCAUGGAACCUGUGUAAUGAUAACUCUUUCUGUCAGCUGCCUGAGUUCUGCUGCCGCUUCAGGGCCCCCAAAUGACACACAGAGACUUACAUUAGUUACAAUGCUAUUGGCCAAUGACUAGGAUUUCUUAUUUGCUAGCUCCGUCUUAAGUGUUAACCAUAACUAUUAAUCUAUAUAUUUUUAUAAGGACUUAACCUUAGCGAGGACGCUGGACUCAUGCGUCCUCUCUUCCUGGGAUCACACGGUGACUUCUUUUACUACAUUUCCCAGAAUCUUCCUUGACUCCUGGUCCCACCUAUCUUGCUUCCCUGUUGGCCAAUAAGACAAUCAUAUACACAGAAGGACCUCUCCCAUCAAACCUGAGUUCAGUUCCCAGCACCCUCACUGGGUUGCUCACAAAGCCUGUAAGUAGCUUCCGGGGAUUUGGUGCUUGUGACCUCUGAAGGUACUGGUGUGCACAUACGCCCACCUACACAAAAACACAUAAAUAAAACUUAAGUCUUUAAAACA